rnacentral:lncRNA from 1 species
GCCUCACACAUGUGAGGCAAGCAGUCCAUCACUGAGCCCCAGCCCCAGCAUGCUAGCAUACUUCUGAUAAGGCGAAGUAGAUAGAGUAGAUAGAGUCAGGCACAGAUCAGGGUUACAAGGCCUUCCAUUUUGUGAGCAGUUUUUUUGAUAGCAGUUGGCCCCACUCAAAAAAGACAGCGAGCCUUGUGACAAAGUGUGGUCUAGCCAAUGAGAUGUGAAUGGAAGCUUCCAGGAAAACUCUGAAAAGGCUUCCUCUUCUGUUUUUUGGAAUGUGAUAUAAUGGCUGGAAUUCUGGUCCACUUUGGAAUACCAGGUGACCUUGAAGAUGGAAGCCAUUAACUAAGAUACUGUUCUUGUAAGCUUUUACAGCUUUUACUGUUCUUGUAAGCUUUUACACAAGAAACAAACUAUGUUGUAUAAACCACUGCUACUUUGAAUUCCCAAGUUAUAUGCAACCAAACCUUAUCCUGAUAUGGCUAAGAUUUCAUAUUAUUCUUUGAUAAGAGUUUUAUAUAUUGAAAGCUGGGUGUAGUGGCAGAUGUCUAUAAUCCCAACAACUCAGGAGGCUGAAGGAGGAGGAUCAUGAUUUCAAAGCCAGCCUCAGCAACUUAGUAAAGCCUAAGCAACUCAGCGAGACUCUGUCUCUAAAUAAAACACAAAAAAAGGGCUGGGUAUAUGGCUCAGUGGUUAAGUGCCCCUAGGUCAAUCUCCAGUACCAAAAAAAAAAAAAAAAGUUUUAUAUGUUCACAUUGACAAUUUUCACAAGAACUUGGGAUAGUCAUAUGUACCUGGCUCCCCAUAGCAGAGUCCAGCAUGGGAUUGGAGCAGACAAUAGGCAACCUGUGGAGUUAAAGCAGAAUUUGGGGACAAAAGAAAGUUGUUUGUCCAAAAGGCAGAUUAAUCCCCAAGAAAAUACAAAAAAAAAUUGUUUGGGUUAUUAGAGAAAUUGAACAUCCCUAAUUCAAAACCUGAAAUGUUUGAGCUCAAAAAGUUUUGGAUUUUGCAUUUCCAGAUUAGGGGUGCUCAACAGAUAAAGUCUAUAUACAUAUUUCAAAAUUUGGGGAAAAAAAAUCAAAUCUGAAACACUUCUGGGCCCAAGCAUUUCAGAUAAGGGAUAUUCAGCCUAUACUUUAAUACAGCACUCCUUCAAUAAUCCCAGAAGUGGAGGCUCCCACCUACUUUGUUUUGUUUUGCUUUUAAAGAAGCUUCUAUGCAACAGGCAUUUCACAUCUUAAAUUAACUGACCUUGGUUUCCAACACUAUAAAACCUGACAGCAUUUAAAAGUAAAACAAGAGUAGUUUAUGACGUGCUAAUUUAUUGCCUCUAUCUCACAUUAGUAACCUUCAAGGAACUCAAAAUAUAUUGCCUCCAUUAUUUGACAUUAAAAUAGCUCUGGGGCCUCCGUGAGCAGCCAAGUAGAUCCUAGAGACUGGCAGUACAAUCACUCCCCUGCUUAGAACCUGUCAAUAACUUCUCAUUGUUUUUAGAGUUUCAGCCCACUGGGCAAUCAAGUCCACUUUCUCUCCAGCCAAUCAGAACUACUCACAACUCAACUUUUGUUUCUGCCAUUCUAGACCGGCUUCACUCAGCUAACUUCACCCCUCUGAAGUCAUUCUUCCUCCCCUGCCCCAGCUGCCUGUGUUUUAAAUUCUGCUGAUCUUCAAGGUCUAACACUAGCUAUGCUCUUUCUCUGUCCCUCAUACUGGAGAUUAUAAACUCUCAUGGACCAGCUUGGGGUAUAGCUCAGAGUGCUUUCCUAACAUACAAGGCCUAGGUUUGAUUCAUUUCACAUGGAUUUUACAGGAAACUCUCAGAAGUUACUUUCCUCUUCUUUUGUUGUUUGUAUGCAUUGAAUUGCUUUAUCUUACCAUAAGCUUCCAAAAGGAACACAAGGCUUCUUCCAUCCCUCUGGCAUCUAGGAGGUACCCAGGAUUAGAAAGUGAAUAAGAGGUUAGAGAAGUACCUAGACAUGCUCCUUUUUUUAUCUCCUCUCAGUCUAUGUUUCUGGUACUUUUCUUUCCUUCAUUUUUUUCUCAGCAAAGGAAAGACAAGGGAUGAAUUAGGGACAGGGAAGGUGUUGACUGUAGAAAGCUAGAUUUUUCACUGAUAAUUAAUCCCCUUUUAUUAUAGAUGAAUUUUUUGAGAAAAUAUUUUUCAUCAUUUGCAAUGUGAUGCUUUUGAGAUUCAUAGUUACCUGUUAGCAAUACAUUCAUUGCCUUUUAUGAUUUCUCUUUUAAUUAGCCAGGGAAAUAGCCCUGGUGAAAUAGAGUGGUAUAAUUCACUAAGUUGUCUUUCUUAAAGGGAGCAAUCAGAAUUUCACAGCCUCAGCUGUUUUCUUAAACUGGAAAGCACACAAAUCCUCCAGAAGUAUGCACUCUACAUACCUACUAAUAAGCCAUACAUUCAGUUGACAAAUUUUUUCAAUUUGUCUAAAUCAGUGGUUCUCAAUUUUAGGACAGUUUGCCCAUAUCUGAAAAUUUUUAUGUCACCACUGGAAAGGGGAUACUGCUAGCAUCUAGUGGGUAGAAGCCAGUGAUGCUGCUAAACCUAUGGACAGAGCAGCCCAUACCACAAAGAACUAUACAACCCAAAAUGAUGGUAAUGAAAAAAUUGAAUUAUUUACCCUGAUUAAACAAAUUUGGCAGUUAUUCGCUUCAAAUAUAUUCAUUCUUUCCAUCAGAACACACAUUCUAAUACUUUAAUAUCUGAAAGAGAAUAACAAACUACAUUCUAUAAAGAAUUCAUUCUCUCAUUUAGCUUCCCACAGGAAACUGUUUGAAGGGAAAAAUACUUAUUUUCUAAAGAAAAAAACAAUUUUUUUUUAAAUUUCAAAACACUUCUUAAAAUUAACUUCCUACAGAAGGGCUUUUUAAACAGUCAUUCCGGCUCCAGUUGUUUUGAAAUCACUCUAGAAAUAUGGAUGUGAGCCUGGAAAUCUGCCUAGUUUAGAUAAGCAGGCCUAUAACAGAAAUUUUUUCCUUAAACUCAAUGAGAACGAAUCCAUUAAGAGUUCAGAAGGCAAAGAAAUUUUAAGAACAUUGUUGAGAUAAUGUGCAAGCAAAGAAAACACUAGAUUUAUUCUGUUUAGGGUCAGAGAUAAUAUUUCCUUCACAUCAUUCAAUAUUUUGCUAACAUUUUUUCUUCCUUUUUCCCCCCGCCUUGUGUUACUGGGGAUGGAACCCAAGGAAUUGCCCAUACUAGGCAAGCACUUUAGCACUGAAUUACACCCCCAGCCCUAUUUUUCCUUUCUAAUGAGGCAAGGGAGAUUUCUGUUGAUUAUUUGAUCAUUUUCCAUAUUUUUCUUUUAUAAUAAUAGUAUCAUGCAUAAAAUUUGGUGGCCUCCAUGUUUUCUAUACCAUCACAAAUAUUUUUCCAUGCCAAUUAACAUUUUUAAAAACUAUAGACUGAAAAAUGUCAUAUUGAUCUACCAUAAUUGAUUUAACCAUUCCCCAAUUAAUGAGAUUUCACUUGUUUAUUUUUCAUCAAAAUAAAAACAUUUGAGAUGAGUAUUUUUGUAUCUUAAAAAAUACAUUUUAUACUUAUAUAAAAAUAUAUCAGGUAUAUAUUUUAUAGAUGAUCUUUAUCUUACUUCCAUAAAAGGAAUUAGAAUUGCCUCACAGAGAUUUCUUCCUGUUUCUUAUUUAUCAGACUUCUACCUUUCCUAGGGACUUUACCUGGCAAAGUAUACAAUGCCAAGUUUUAAUAAAUGCUGACUAGUCAACAUUCUAGACAUUUGUAAAUGCCCAGAAAAACAAUGGAUGAUACAAAGAAAGAAUUGAGGAUCCCUAACUUCUAUCUUCAUCCGGGCUGCAUUUUUAUGCCUUUUUGCGUAAGCCCCAAGGAUUUGGGGGCUUACUUCCCUUCUGAAAAUGAGAUCAUUUCCUAUCAUUGAAUAGCUGUUCUUGCUAUGGUACUGGAACUAGAAAGAAGUUGGUCCAAAUAGGAAGACCCCCUGCUCACUUAGUGUUACCUGAGAAUGCAAGGACCCCCUUUUUUGCCUGGUGAUGUCAACAUCACUCCCUAACAAUGUGCCCCAAAUUCCCAGUUAACCAACUUUGGGAGAAUUAAGGCCUUAACAUUUCAGUUUUGUUUUGUUUUGUUUUUUUCUGUAUUAAGAAUUAGACCCAGAGGUGCUAUAUCACUGGGCUACAUCUCAAGCCCUUUUUUACUUUUAAUUCUGAGACGGGGUUUUUCUAAAUUGCCCAGAUUGGCCUUGAACUUAUGAUCCUCCUGCCCCAGCCUCCUGAGUAGCUAAGAUUAUAGACAUGCACCACUAUGGCUGGCUUUAAAUUCUCAUCUUUUCUUUGUUAAGUAAUAUUGGGAGUAUUCACACAUUUACUUGUCACAGUUCUGUAUAGUGCAGUACCAGCAAAUGAUUAGCCAGAUGGUUCACAUUGCAAGGCACUGAAGGAAUGGAAGAACACAGGGAAGCAUCUUUAAGCCUGACUUCCUCACCUAAUAAGCUCUGAGGAUCUAGAGAAAGGAGUACUGAGAGCACAAGACCUAUCUGGGAGGAAAGUCAGGCCCCGAGCCACUGUGGAGGGUCUGGGGCACUCUGAGGACAACACAGGGGCGAUCAAGUAGCCAGGGAACCAGGUGAGAACAGUAAAAUCCACAUAGGGCAGACUUUUGCCUAAUAUAUAGUUAAUAACUUUGCCUUGGCUUCUGUGUAUACAGUGCCAAACAAAAGAGGAAUAGUACUUGGGUCAUCCUAAAAUAUGCAUCCUAAUGUUAUGAAUGGAGUAGAAAAGAGAAAAGCCUUCUCAGGAAGUAAAAAUACUUCCAUUUUUACUAAUAGUUUUCUCCAUUCACAAAUCUGUAAUACUAAUUUAAAGGAAAAAAAUAAACUUGAAAAACAUUAAUAUGCAUAGAUGUUAAAUUAGUUGGGAAAAGUAUCUUCAAAUUGUCACUUAAUUUUUAAUGAAAAACUGAAGCAACCUAAAUGCUCACAGAUGAUGAGUAAUCAAGUAAAUUCUGCCACAUACAGUGGUAUUCAAAUCAUAAAAAUAAGGUUGUACAUCAUAUUUGUUGUUAUAAAGAAAGCCAUGAAAUAUUGUUGAGAGUCAAAACAGAUUACAAAACUGAAGGCACCAUUUGAUCUGUUUAUGAAAAGCUAUUUCCAUAUUAAUAUAUGUGUAACCAGACACAGCUAGCACACAACUGUAAUCUGAGCUAUAUGGGAGCCUGAAGCAAGAGAUUUGCAAGUCCAAGACCAGCCUGGGCAACUUAGCAAGACCCUGUCUCAAAAAUAGAAAAGAGAAGAGUGCCCCUGGGUUCUGUCCCUCAUACCAAAGGUAUGAAUGCAUGCACGCACAUACACACUCACCACACAUACAGAUGAUUGUAGGAAUAUUCCCAAAUAGACUGUUGACAAUGAUUAUCUUCAAAAUACAUAAUUAAUUUGUAUUUUGUAAUUGUAAAAUCUGUUUCUUCUCUAAAAGCAAUAAUGCAUUUCCUCCCUCCAAAAAGAAAAGCCUACCUAAAUCCUUUUUAUUUCAAGUGCUUCCAUUCUGAUAAUCUAAAUAAUUGUGGUUUACUAAAAAGGAUUGUAGAGUAAAAUCCAUACCCAUGAUAGAACAAAAUUCAAGCUGGAGGACAUCCAUGACUGUAAAACCAGGAGACAAAUGGAAGCAGCAAUUCUGAUGCAGGAAAAGAGCAACCUGGAUUUUGACAUCCUGUACAGAAUCCUAAAUCUUAGACUAAAAAAGCAUCAACUGGUACAUUUUCUUGCCCUUGAGCACUGAUCAUGUUAUCUUUCAUUUUUAACUUAAACCAUAAAAUUGUAUUAGCUAUGCUACAAAUUAAGCUAAGCUGUCUUCUAUCCAAUCACUUCGAUUCUGUCCUUUGGAGGGUGAUUCUGUCCUCUUUGAGUUGAAAGUGAAGGAAUUGUAUCAUGCCUUUUACUUACAAAAUAUUUUAAAAGAUAACAUCUCUAAGAAAAUAGUGUUUUUCAUUGAAAAAUAUUUUCCAAAGAUCUAAACUUGAAAGACAACAAAAAUUAAAUAUUUGGUGUAUAAAGGGAGGGUGAAAAGGAAGAAUUUCAAACCCAGCAAACUAGGAACAAUUCCUUUAAGAAACUUCCACUUAAAGGACCCUGGCACAUAUAGCUCAGAACCUUGUCCUAAAUGAGGUGAUGAGAGAUUUACAGUACCUGCUUUGUAAAACCAGAUUCAGUCCUGUUACUGCCCACUCUGGAAUCCAGGUGUCUAGCUGCUCAGCUAAUGCCUGCUCCUCUACAUCAUCCACUCUUGACAAAAAAGCUGAGCUCUAUAAAUUAAAUGGCAUGAUUAAACAAUACAUAUACAAAUCUGAAUACCUACAAUAUUUCCACAGAAUUACCAAAAAUAAGAGCUUAUUUUAAUUGGUAGUGAAAGACAUAUAAACAAACUAUUUGAGUAAAUCCCUUGAAUUCAAUAAAUCAAUACGACAGAAUUACACCAACAGUUACUUAGGUAUCUACUAUGGUAUGAAGGAACUGAAGACCCCAUUGAAUAGUUUGUAAGCAUGGAAGAGUUACAUUGCCAAAUAAACAGCACACCUGAUAAUUUCUCCAAGGGCCAAGAAAAAGAAGCAUCACUUUGGGCUUUACAUAUAAAGAAGCUUAAUGGAAUAUUCAUACUUACUUAGAAACAAAAAUCCAAAAGAUCAGUAGGGAAUUUUGUCUUAAUAAUAUAGUAUACUAAAUAGUAUGCUGUUUUUGUGCCUGAAGCUUUUUUCUAUAAGGUUGUAAGGUGAAUCUGAAGAAUAAAAAAAAAAAGAGAUUAUAUUUAACAGUGGUCUUCAUAAAGAAUAUUUUGUAUGAUUCUAAUUAUUUGAAUAAUGUUAUAUGUGCACACUUGUAUAUAGUCAGCAUUCCAAAGUCUCCAAUGAGAAUAUCCACAUCAUCCCAGUUCUACUCACAUAACCACUGAAACAGAUCAAUUCUUUUUUAAUUAUUUUAGUUGCAGGGAUUGAAUCCAGGACCUAGCACAUGCCAGGCACAUGUCUGCCACUGAGCUACAUACCCAACCCCAAAAGAUUGGAAUUUUUAAAUGUUGACAUCCUAUAAAAUGUAAAGAAUUCACUAACUUUGUAAAUAAUAUAAAUUGCUUACAAAAAUUUUAUUUGGAAAUGCAGCGUUGACAUUUUUUGGCAAUCCAAUUCAGUUAGAAUAACCAUCACAGUCUCAGAGAAGCAGAACCAAAUUUUAAUUUGAACUAAAAAUUUAUACUUUAUUAUAUUGGUAAUGCCUCUUCUUUCCCUUUUUCCUUUUCUUAAUUGGUCAUUUUUAGUUAU